UGGGGAAUAUUGGACAAUGGGGGCAACCCUGAUCCAGCCAUGCCGCGUGAGUGAUGAAGGCCUUCGGGUUGUAAAGCUCUUUUUGGCGGGGACGAUGAUGACGGUACCCGCAGAAUAAGCCCCGGCUAACUUCGUGCCAGCAGCCGCGGUAAGACGAAGGGGGCUAGCGUUGUUCGGAAUUACUGGGCGUAAAGCGAGUGUAGGCGGUUGCCGUAGUCAGGUGUGAAAGCCUUGAGCUCAACUCAAGAAAUGCACUUGAUACUGGGUGACUAGAGGACCGGAGAGGAUAGUGGAAUUCCCAGUGUAGUGGUGAAAUACGUAGAGAUUGGGAAGAACACCAGUGGCGAAGGCGGCUAUCUGGACGGUUACUGACGCUAAGACUCGAAAGCGUGGGGAGCAAACAGGAUUAGAUACCCUGGUAGUCCACGCCGUAAGCGAUGGGUGCUAGACGUUGGCGAGCUUGCUCAUCAGUGUCGCAGCUAACGCGUUAAGCACCCCGCCUGGGGAGUACGGCCGCAAGGUUGAAACUCAAAUGAAUUGACGGGGUCAU
rnacentral:rRNA from 1 species